CCUUACAGGAAGUGGCCUGUCUGACCAUUUCUUGCCCUCCUUGAUCAUCUCUAACAAAUACAGGGGAUCUCUGGCAUGACGUGACACUUCCUACGGCUCCCAUGGGCUCUCAGAAGGCGGGAAAAAGCUGAACGAUGUAAUUCCAUCCCCAGGCUGAAACACAUUAGCGCGUUUGGCAAGUGCUCUAUCAGAGGGCCAUUAGACUGAGGCUCGUGCAUGAGGGGAUAGCAUGCUUUUACUUUCACUCUCUUUGUAAUAAAAAACGAUUUCCUGGUCAGAAUAUUAUCGCUUUUUUACGAGAAAAAUGGCAUAAAAAUAGAUUUUAAACAGCGGUUGACAUGCUUCGAAGAACGGUAAUGGAAUAUUUAGAAUUUUUUUGUCACGAAAUGCGCCAUGCUCGUCACCCUUCUUUACCCUUCGGAUAGUGUCUUGAACGCACGAACAAAACGCCGCUAUUUGGAUAUAACAAUGGAUUAUUUGGGACCAAACCAACAUUUGUUAUUGAAGUAGAAGUCCUGGGAGUGCAUUCUGACGAAGAACAGCAAAGAGGAGAUGAGAGGACCACAGGACUUCUCUUCCCUCUAAUCAAGAGGAGAUGAGAGGACCACAGGACUUCCUUCUCUUCCCUCUAAUCAAGAGGAGAUGAGAGGACCACAGGACUUCCUUCUCUUCCCUCUAAUCAAGAGGAGAUGAGAGGACCACAGGACUUCACUUCCCUCUAAUCAAGAGGAGAUGAGAGGACCACAGGACUUCACUUCCCUCUAAUCAAGAGGAGAUGAGAGGACCACAGGACUUCCUUCUCUUCCCUCUAAUCAAGAGGAGAUGAGAGGACCACAGGACUUCACUUCCCUCUAAUCAAGAGGAGAUGAGAGGACCACAGGACUUCCUUCUCUUCCCUCUAAUCAAGAGGAGAUGAGAGGACCACAGGACUUCUCUUCCCUCUAAUCAAGAGGAGAUGAGAGGACCACAGGACUUCACUUCCCUCUAAUCAAGAGGAGAUGAGAGGACCACAGGACUUCUCUUCCCUCUAAUCAAGAGGAGAUGAGAGGACUACAGGACUUCACUUCCCUCUAAUCAAGAGGAGAUGAGAGGACCACAGGACUUCACUUCCCUCUAAUCAAGAGGAGAUGAGAGGACCACAGGACUUCACUUCCCUCUAAUCAAGAGGAGAUGAGAGGACCACAGGACUUCACUUCCCUCUAAUCAAGAGGAGAUGAGAGGACCACAGGACUUCACUUCCCUCUAAUCAAGAGGACAUGAGAGGACCACAGGCUUUACAGUCUCUGUACUAUCCUGUCCCGAGAGACCAGAUCUGUCUGAGGCAAUCCAUGGAAGACAAGUUCAGACUUAGGUGUGUGUGUGUGUGUGUGUGUUUGUCAUCCAGGUCACUCACCUCUAUUACUGGUCAAAGGGUUUCAAUUAUUGCUUCCUGGUUGGUUAAAAAUAGUUGGAGGGAGAGGAGAAGAGAUCUCUCUUUAACCAACCAGGAAGCCAUAAUUGAAAAAGAGAGAGGGGAAUAGAGAGAGAGAGGGGAAGAGAGGGGAAGAGAGGAGGAGAGAAGUAGAGAGAGGGAGACAGGAGGAGAGAAGUAGAGAGAGAGAUAGGGAGACAGGAUGAGAGAAGUAGAGAGAUAGAGGGAGACAGGAUGAGAGAAGUAGAGAGAUAGAGAGAGACAGGAUGAGAGAAGUAGAGCGAUAGAGAGAGACAGGAUGAGAGAAGUAGAGCGAUAGAGAGAGACAGGAUGAGAGAAGUAGAGAGAUAGAGAGAGACAGGAUGAGAGAAGUAGAGCGAUAGAGAGAGACAGGAUGAGAGAAGUAGAGCGAUAGAGAGAGACAGGAUGAGAGAAGUAGAGCGAUAGAGAGAGACAGGAUGAGAGAAGUAGAGCGAUAGAGAG
rnacentral:lncRNA from 1 species